ensembl:lncRNA
UAAGGCUGCAUGUAGUCUAGGCAACAUUAGUCGAAUCUCACAGUGGUUUAUGGAUUUGUCUCGCUGUAGCCUGCUGUGAAUUAAGCACUAAGCAAACCACUGGCAGUUCAUGCCAUGGCCUACGACGGUGGCAUCAGGUGUAAAAGGUCAAUCUGUAGGCCCUCGGGUAAACUAAGACUUUAAAUAGCUUUUCAUAGUAUGUCAUUUCUCUCACACCUUAGAAUGAUUAAGUUAUUAUUUAGGGAUAACUAUAUUUAAAAGCUCACCAGAAAAACACACUUCUUUGCAUUGUCGCUACCUCCAAGAACUUUAACGUUACCAAUUUCUUAGAAGUUAAAUUAACGUCAUACUUCCAAGUAGGGUCCUUCAAACCCGUGAAUAAGGUUCUUGCGUAUGUCUGCUGUCUCGCAAGACCAAAUUCCUAGUUGGUUGUCUUGUACAUUUAUGGGAAUUAUACAUUCACUUUCCAAAUGAUUUUUCCUUUCCCAGAAAUCCACAUGGUUUCGUUUUGACUGAAGUAGACUAAAUACACUUAAUAGCUCCGGGAGAUUCCCGUCGGAGAGUCUAUUAAACCAAGCAACCAGAGACAGUCGCCGGUUCGUGCCUUUCCGAAGCUGCAAGUUGUUCUGGUGGCUGUGCCUAAAUCUAUACUUAUAUUUCCCGCCACUUUUGCUGCCCUGCCCUGCCCUGACCCUCCUUGACCCCCACUGGGGACAAAGGCUGCCUCUGGAGAAGAUGAUGUCCUGAUAGGCUGACAAAGGCUCCCUCUGGAGAAGAUGAGGUCCUGAUCCAAAGCUGUCUGGACUAGACGUGGUCCAUGGUCAACAGACAUCAAACAUCAAACAUCAGAGAAUGUUCAAUAAUAAUAAAGCAACUAACUCAGGCUCUUGAGUUAGUUAGUUUUGUUAGUUAAUUAGUUUAUUCGUAAGUUACUUUAUUAGUCAAUGUGUUUGUUUGUUAGUUAGUUAGUCUAUUAGUUAGUUUAGUUUGUUAGUUACAUGUAAAAGUUCGUUUAUUCGUUUAUUAGGUUUGAUAUCGUUUUAGUUUUGUUAGUUAAUCUAGGGUUAGGGUUACUAACUCUUGGGUUGUAGAUUUGUCUGUUUAUCAGUAACCUUCAGGCAUCCUCAAACAUGAGCUUGUCUGUUUAUCAGUAAGCUUUAGGCAUCCUCAAACAUGAGCUUGCUUUGGGUGACUAGUAUGCAUGGUGACUUUUCAAGUUUGUGUCACCUGAUCUCUGUAAAAUGAUUAACAAUGAACAAUUAAAGUAAGCCAUGAAAAAGCCAUGUAAUUCUGCAGUGAUAUGUACUUCAUAAAGAUAGCCCCAACAGUAGUCUCCCAGGCAUACUGUACAUACUAAAAAACAAAGAAAACAGCUUUUAUUUUAUUGUAUUUGUUAUGUUUUGCUGUUUCUGGUAUGCACUGUAACAAGGGGCACCAGUUUAUUCAUAUUUAUUUCAAGUCUUGCUAGCAACCCUUACACGUCACUUAACACAAUCAGGUUAUGCAGACUGAAAAUAAUAAAAACGGGAAAGAGCAUCUUUUGUAAGUGUGUGAGAUUGCAUAAUUGUAUACAUUCUGGGAAGGUACAGUUAAGCAGUGGGUCAUUUAAUAGAGCAGAACGAUGGCGAUGGAAGGAAGCCAUUGAAGGCAGAGGAAAAGGGAGACUGACGGAGACUAGUUCAGUACAAUACUGAUGCGUGUGUGGUGCCUGCUAUCCGCAAACAACACUUUGUAGGACAUUUUGGUAAAAGGAAUGUAGGUCAUGCUUUGGGGCACUGACUGAUUCAUUUAGGCCUAUGCUUUCCUUCCAGCAGUGUCAUCAGAAAACCUGAGUCCUUUAAAAAUAAAUGUCUGAACACUGCAGAAUUAGUUUUAAAUGCUGUAUGGUUGAGUCGGGGCACGAUUCUCUAGACUCGUCGGCCCUUUUAUGAAAAGACUUGCAGUAGGCACCAGAUCUAGUGGUGUGAAAACUUUGACCCAAACCAAUUAGAAAGACGCCCCAACAAAAUAGAGGAGAUGAGGCCUUGCACUCUUAGACACACAUGGCUGAACACAGCUGUGAUAAUCAUUCCUUAUUGAGUAACUUUGUAUGUGUUUGGUAUAGGACAAGAGGCUUGGAAAUGGUGUGAAGGCCUAAGUGUGUUUUAUAUGACAUAGAUUGACACAGCGCUGAAGAACGCUGUGUUAAACAUUCUGUUACGGCCACAUGUGUGUUGUGUUCUUGUUUACCACUUCCUUCCCUUUCUGUAGCUCCGCCCAGGUUGUGGUACACCUGAUUGCCAGAUGAGAUGCACCUGGUCAGGUGAUUAAGCAGCAGUUAAAGACUCCAGUUUCCUGCUGCGGAAGAAGAGGCUUCUAGCGUGUGGACUGCUGCCUCUCAGCCUCUCAGCCUCUCAGCCUCUCAGCCUCUCAGCCUCUCAGCCUGUGAUUUUGUUGUGUAGUUAUGUUUUGAUAUGGUUUCUAGAGUUGUUGUGUAUUUGUUUAUAUUAAUAAAUCCUUUGGAUUUGGUGCUUUUAAAAAGGUGUUUCUAGUAGUUGAUUUGGGUCAGUGGUGGAGUGUUGUUCGCCCCAUAAAGCUACCAAAGGUU